rnacentral:miRNA from 1 species
AAAGGACUGAUACCGGGCCUGUCGGGGCCUGGAAGAGUUCCUCUGCGCGACGGCAUCAAAUAACGGGGCCGGUCGCUGUGUGGAGUGCAGCUGCUGAUGUGCAGUCGGUGGGCGGUCAAGCGACCUGGUUAGCUGCCACAGGCAGGUGGCGCAUGUCCACGGCUCCGUGUCCAGGCCACGGCAUCGCUCAUCAGAUGAAG